GCGUUCAUGGUCUAACGGUUAGGAUUGUUGCCUUCCAAGCAAUAGGCUCGGGUUCGACUCCCGAUGAACGCA